GAGAAAUUUGGUUUGAAAUGAAAUUUGAGUCUUGAGAGAGGGCUGAUAUGAAGGAGAAUCAAACAAGCCACAUGGGAGCAUCUGAAGGCCUGGAGAUAAGGGCCUGUUGCAUGGCUGUGAAAAUUUGGCCUUUAAAAUAACUAGGCAUGGGCCAGAAAUCACAGCCGGCGGCUGCGACCACCCAAGGCAGGAGAUCCAGCGGGGGACUAUGGAGCUCAGUGGAGCUGCGGCCUGGGAGAAGCCCACCCAAGAGAACCAUGUAACUAGAAACCAUCACAUUCGGCUUCGUGUGAGGGAGAAGCAGCUCCCCAUUUCCGGCAUCUCGGCUUGGCAGGACCCCUCCAGGACCUCACUCCUCUGAGACGCACUGCAGACCUCACAGGUGACAGCAGCGUUUUGCUGACUCAGAGGCAACUACCACGAUGACCCUCCAGCCCGUGUCCAGACCUGGGGCAGCGACUUGGACAGGGGGCUGCAGAAGUGGG
rnacentral:lncRNA from 1 species